rnacentral:tRNA from 3 species
GCCGGGGUGGUGAAAUUGGUAGACGCGUCAGACUCAAAAUCUGAUGGGUGUAAGCCCGUGCCGGUUCGAGUCCGGCCCUCGGCACCA